GGAUGUGAGGGCUAUCUGGCUAAGACAUCUGUCACCCCAUUGAUCACCAGGGUUGAUUCUGCUGAUCUGGCUGGCUAGGCUGGUGUCCCCUUCCUCCCUCACCGCUCCAUGUGCGUCCCUCCGGAAGCUGCGCACCAGGUUGAAGAGAAUGGCCUUCCCUUAAUAGAGAUGGACAGGUCUUCGGUUGAGGGUAUAGGAGUAGCUGCGCUCCCCUGCUAGAACCUCCAAUCAAGAUUUCUAUAGUCUGUUUCUUAUAGAGUAUCUGCAACUGGAAUUUCUUGGAUUUUGUAUGAUUUGUUUCUAUUUGUUGCUACAUAUAUAUGUAUAUGUAUAUACACAUAUAUGGUGU
rnacentral:snRNA from 1 species